UACAGAGGGGGCAAGCGUUGUUCGGAAUUACUGGGCGUAAAGGGCGCGUAGGCGGCCGCCUAAGUCAGACGUGAAAUCCCUCGGCUCAACCGGGGAACUGCGUCUGAUACUGGGUGGCUUGAAUUCGGGAGAGGGAUGCGGAAUUCCAGGUGUAGCGGUGAAAUGCGCAGAUAUCAGGAGGAACACCGGUGGCGAAAGCGCACAUCUGGCCCGAUACUGACGCUGAGGCGCGAAAGCUAGGGGAGCAAACGGG
rnacentral:rRNA from 1 species